UACGAAGGGGGCUAGCGUUGCUCGGAAUCACUGGGCGUAAAGGGUGCGUAGGCGGGUCUUUAAGUCAGGGGUGAAAUCCUGGAGCUCAACUCCAGAACUGCCUUUGAUACUGAGGAUCUUGAGUUCGGGAGAGGUGAGUGGAACUGCGAGUGUAGAGGUGAAAUUCGUAGAUAUUCGCAAGAACACCAGUAGCGAAGGCGGCUCACUGGCCCGAUACUGACGCUGAGGCACGAAAGCGUGGGGAGCAAACAGG
rnacentral:rRNA from 1 species